UACGGGGGGAGCAAGCGUUGUUCGGAAUUACUGGGCGUAAAGGGCUCGUAGGUGGCCAACUAAGUCAGACGUGAAAUCCCUCAGCUUAACUGGGGAACUGCGUCUGAUACUGGAUGGCUUGAGUUUGGGAGAGGGACGCGGAAUUCCAGGUGUAGCGGUGAAAUGCGUAGAUAUCUGGAGGAACACCGGUGGCGAAGGCGGCGUCCUGGACCAACACUGACACUGAUGAGCGAAAGCCAGGGGAGCAAACGGG
rnacentral:rRNA from 1 species